UCUCACUCUGUUGCCCAGGCUGCCAACGCUGUAGCCUGAAGGUCCUGGGCUCAAAUAAUCCGCCUGCCUCAGUCUCUCAGGUACCGUAGGAUUACAGGCAUAUGCCACCAUGCCCAGCUACCAUGAGUGAGGCUGCAAGCCUAGCCCUGGGUACCAAGGAUGGUGAUUGGCAGGCAGCUGCAGGAGCUGUGUGCAGACUGUGCAUGCAACAGUGGGAAUUAUAUGCAAGCUGAGAGCGGAAAGUCAUUUAGCAGUGGAAGCAGCAGAUGGAGUCUUACUCUGUCGCCCAGGCUGGAGUGAGUGGCGCAAUCUCAGCUCUUCCUGCAACUCCUACCUCCUGAAUUCAAGCAAUUCUCUGCCUCAGUCUCCUGAGUAGCUGGGAUUAUAGGCACCCACGACGACACCCAGCUCUUUUGUAUUUUUAGUAGAGUUGGGGUUUCACCAUCUUGGCCAGGCUAGUCUUGAACUCCUGACCUCACGAUCUACCCGCCUAAGCCUCCCAAAGUGCUGGAAUUACAGGCAUGAGCCACUGUGCCCAGAAAAUGUCAGUAUCGUGUGUUUGGUGUCCUCCUCUCCACAAACACACGAAAAACAUAAUUACUAAACCAAUUCUGCAUAUAAUUGUCCAAUUUUUCAAGACAUGGAAAUGAGGUGUAUUGAGUCCACCUGUGCUGGGUCUCCCUGUGUCCCUUCUGAGAGAGAAAUGGGGGAGGUGUUAAAUGAUGGGCAACCUCCAAAGGGAAUUUGAAACAGGCCAGCAGCCUUCUUCUGAGUUGGGAAGGCCUGUUGUGUAGGCACAGCAGGUCAGCUUGCUCGCCCUCCAUCCUGCCCUUUUUCUAGGCUGUCUUCCUGCACUGCAAGGGCUGGAAAGCUAAGGACUACAUUCCUCAGACUUCUGUCUAGUGAUUCUUCUACAUGUGAAUUAAGCUCUUUUUUUAAAAAUUAAAUUAAUG
rnacentral:lncRNA from 13 species